GGACUACAGGGGUAUCUAAUCCUGUUCGCUCCCCUAGCUUUCGCGCCUCAGCGUCAGUAACCCUCCAGGACACUGCCUUCGCCUUUGGUAUUCCUCCGGAUAUCUACGCAUUUCACCACUCCACCCGGAAUUCUAUGUCCCUCUCUGGUCCUCAAGUCAAGCAGUUUUCAGAGGCCUUGCUCAGUUAAGCCGAGCACUGUCACUCCAAACUUACCCAACCGCCUGCGCGCCCUUUACGCCCAAUAAAUCCGGACAACGCUUGCCCCCUACGUAUUACCGCGGCUGCUGGCAC
rnacentral:rRNA from 1 species